CCACCCUAGGGUCACCCCUGUAGGUAAGUUUCUAAAACAAGAACGAACACACUAUGCCUUACUACCAUGGGGUUAGGAGUUAUUUUUCUAUGAUAUAUAGGUUCACUUUGCUAGCGUGCAAUAAUGUAUGUUUUCAUAUCAACUGGUUUUCAUGAUUUCAAAGUCCAAUUCACGGAUUAAUCUUUGGCUUCGACUCUGCUCUCUCGUUUCAGCAUAAAGCUCCCUUCAGAGAUCCAGCCUAGUUGCUGCUCCAUCACAAGCUUCCUCUGCUCCUCACGUUCUCAAGUCUACGUUCCUGCCUCCCUCUCAAGCAUCUCUCCUCAAGUCUGGCAUCCUGAAUCACUCAUCUAGUUUCCUUCAGUUCCGGUUCCUAAUUGUUCGCAGCCAGAAAGAGGAAAUGACAUCACUGGGAGGGACCUAUAUACCUUGUUAUUCCUUUUUUCUUAUUGGUUACCUUGUUACUAUGUGAAAAAGUGCUGCUGUGAAGCUUAAGUAAAGAAAGUCUUAAGCAAA